CUGUGAAUCCCUUGAUGUGCUGGGUGCCUGCAAGAAAAGUGCAGCAGCUUCCGGGACUGGGCCCUAACUGAUACAAGCUAGUGCUGGUCUGGAGCUGGAUGCCAAGCUGAACGGUGGAGCAGCCAUCCCAUGAGGGCUGCAGAUUCCUACACAUGACCAGCCUUCAGUAGGUGAACAAAAAUGGCAUCUAAAUCCCAAGUGACACUCUUAAGCACUUGGCAGCAGAAGGGCUCUUCUGAGGAAGAUUAACUUAAUGGAAGCAUUUGGGUAACAUCUGCAUGACUCUUCAUCCUGGUAAGGCCAACUCACACUGCAACAACACGUGAUGGAGGAUUUCUCUGAUUAUCACUUAAGAACAAAACUGGCUGAAGUUUCUUUUCAAGUACUGACCAGGGUGUCAGAGUACUUUUUGUCACAGAGUAUCCAAAAGGGGGAGAAUUAUAUAGGAAUCGCUUCCUUCUCCAAAUUUGGGUAGUAUCAGUGACGGAACACAGCAGCUAGGGUCUUUAGGAACAAAAGGCACAGGAGACAUUUGGAAAACGAGGAACACACCUGCAUAGAAUAUGGACGCUGCGCCAGAACCUGUCAAGGUUUAGAGAAGUGGAGGAAACACCUGCUAGACCAUCAACCUUCUAGCUAACAGUGGCACUGCUAGUGACAGAAUCAGUCCCUUCCGGAGAUGAUUCAGACUUCAAAAACUCU